ACUUUCUUAAUUUAUAUCCUUUGCUGUGUUGCCAUGCAAGAGAUUUUCAGACAGAAAAAGCUAACUGACUACAUACAAGAAUAAUAAAACACUAACUCAAAUUGUGGUAGAAAUGAUAUCGAAUAAAGCAGGAAACUGUUUCCUAUAAUUUGUGUACCACAGAAAUGUCUGUUGGGGUGUAUGUAUCCCUCCUUGGUGAUUGAAUACUUCUGCCUGUAACAGUUAUGGGAAAAGCAGAAGAGGGGUCUGGGAGGAGAACUGGUGGCUGCUGUGUCCUCAGCUCCUGGAGAUGUGGGCUGACAAAGCCUGUGACUGGUGCACCCUCUGACCACCUACAGUCACAGGCACUAGGCAGAACUGCGACCACCAGCUGCAGCUGGAUCCAGCUAAACCUGCGGUGCCCGUGGGAGCAGCAAUGAACUUCCAGAGAAGGAACAAGAUCAGGGAAUGACAGAGCUUUGCUGAACAAAACUGUAAAGCAUUUAUUUAUAUUUUCUCCUGUAAUUAAUAUUUCUAAGCUUUUCCAGGGAUACAAAGUCUACCUACAGUAACAAAGGCUGUUACUGCAGCCUUUUGCACUCCUGGCAGAAACCACCACACAUCCCUGGAGCACAUGCUACAUUUCCCAGAAGCCUGGCAUGUAUUUUACUCCUUGAGGACAGCUGUCUGAAGAAAAGGAAGAUUCACCACAGAACACAAAAAAAAUCAGGCCUUGAGUUUAAAGUUAUCAUAGGUUUUUAUGUUUUAACAAAGCUGCCGUUCCUUUAAAGUGUUCAUCUGCAGAGCUAUAAAUGCUAGCAAGAAAACCUCUGCUUGGGUUUAUUUUCUUACUAAGAGCAGCUGGCCAUCUGCUGGGUAAGAGGAAAGCUGUGCUUUGGUGCAUUUGGAAGCAAAGGUCACAAAUAGCAGGCUCCAGUCCUUUGCCAAUGAUGCGUUUAGGAUGUGUCUGCUCAGAAGACGCCCUGCUCAGCUUACCAGAUCUCCUAAGAUCAAAACUCAGUAUUGUGCAACUUUAAAUGGCUUUCACAUGGAGAUGCCAUCUAUGGAUGAUUCUUGCUGUUCCCAGAUGCCGCAGGACAAAUGAAAAGAUGUCACCAGAUUCUGGGGUACAGCUUCAGCCUCUGCAUUCCAGCGCGUGAGGCAGGAAUGUCUGCUCUGUCUGGCCUGUGCUGGGACUACCUGCAGAGAUUUGCAGCGCUGAGGAUGCUGCCUCAAAAGCUUGCUAUAGAGACACUGAUUUGAAUCAGCUCAUCACAGUUCAGCACUCUGGAUGUCUGGAAGAUGCUUGUGUGCAGGGGCUGCCAACUCCAGAGUCUUGCUCCACUAUUUAGUACAUUAAAGAGUCCUGGGAGCACUGUACAAGGUAAGAUGGAGUGAAAAAUGAAGGUGGGCAGGGGAAAAAAGUAACUGGAAAGCUUGUCUGUGCAAUCCCGUCAAAGCAUAACUAGCUGAAAUCUCAGGUAACAUUGACAAGGUAAAAGGGUCAAGCCUUCCUGAUUUAACACAGCCAACAAUGCCGUACAAGUCAAGUAAAAGCUACGGAAGGGAGGAAUGCUUGGCAAUUCUGGGAACCAUGGUAUCACCAGGAAAAGAAAUCUGAGGCAAAUAAAUUUUCCUUUUUAAUUGUUUAAUGGCGUUUAGAAACUGGUUAGAAGCUACAAUAAAAUACAUCUAGACACUCAAACAAAAGUGUUUAGAAAGUACUUUGCUGAUAAACAAGUACACAUUUCAGUUGACUACAAAAUAAUUGCUAAAAAGCUUUCUGUAGAAGGAAUGUAUUAUGGCUCUGCAUUUCUGCUCCAAGAGCAGAGAACUCUUCGCUGAAGACCCCGAAACAAUGCUUUUUGCUCUGAGAGUUGGAGAGUUUGAAUGAAGUACUGAGCAGUAAAGGAGGAAUUUAAACAUCUCAUUGGUGAAUAAGACAGAAAUGAUAUCUAGCCAUGUAAGGAAAAAUUCAAACACAGAAGAACUCAAAUUAGGGACUCAAGAACAGGCAUUUCAGCUCUGUCUUGCUUUCCUAUGCAGCAGGAGUCUCAGCCUCUCGAUUCCAGCUGAAAUUUGGUAUUUAAAUGGGGGUAAGGCUCUUGGCCCAAGCUGCUUUUCACCAGGAUGUUCAGGGUAAAUACUGCUAUCAUCACAGCAAGAUAAUUGUCCUGAUAAAUGUCUCAAUUUUCCAAUUCUUCCUUUGCUGAAUUUUAUCAUGGUUUUUAUCAUGGUUUUAUUCUUCCUUCAGUCACAAGGUUGUACUAUUUUCCUUAACUGCCCUUUUAAAACUAAUCCAUACAUUGGCUAAGAGGGAGUGCUCUAGCAGGGGAGCCAGCACUAUUAUCCUAGUCUUGCUGUUCCAGCAAGCUUGGGAAUGAUUGCCCUGAGGUUUCUCACCAAACUGCUUUCAGUUCACAACAGCAUGAGGAAUCAUUAAGUACUUCUUUUUAUGCCUAGUCAUUAGGUAUAUUUACAGUAGUACUCUCCCUCAAAGUCUGGCACUACUUUCUUUGCCCCCACUUUCUGUUUUACAGCUGUUCCUUUGCCCCUAAACUUUCAGUGCUGCAGCGCUGAGGAGCUGUGAACACAGGAAGAGUUUGUUUUUUCACUUCUCAACACACAAAGAAUGUUGUGUUAAAGAGAAAAUAAAUUCUGUUUUUCUCUCAUUUGAAAA